GCCAGUGUGGUAUAGUGGUUUGAGCAUUAAGACUACAACUCUGGAGACCAGGGUUCGAAUCCCCAUUCAGCCA
rnacentral:tRNA from 1 species